rnacentral:rRNA from 1 species
AAUGAACGUUGGCGGCGUGGAUUAGGCAUGCAAGUCGUGCGACAGGCCCGCAAGGGCGCUGAGCGGCGAAAGGGAGAGUAACGCGUAGGUUAUCUACCCUCAGGACCGGGAUAGCUACGGGAAACUGUAGGUAAUACCGGAUGAUGUCCCCGGACUAAAGGUGUGCUUCCUCCUGGGGAGGAGCCUGCGUCCUAUUAGCUAGUUGGGGGGGUAACGGCCUACCAAGGCGGAGAUGGGUACGGGGUAUGGGAGUAUGCCCCCGCUCACUGGGACUGAGACACUUCCCAGACACCUACGGGUGGCUGCAGGCGAGGAUCUUCGGCAAUGGGCGCAAGCCUGACCGAGCGACGCCGCGGGUGGGAUGAAGGCCUUCGGGUUGUAAACCACUGUCAGUGGGGAGGAAAUGCUACAGGGUUCUCUCUGUAGUUUGACCUAUCCGCAGAGGAAGUACGGGCUAAGUUCGUGCCAGCAGCCGCGGUAACAC